GAGGCUUUACUUGUAUUAUAGGCAUCUCUUUAUUGCACUUUGUGUUGUUUUCUUUGUACACUUGACAUCAGCUUCAUCUUUAAGCUUUCAGUGCAACAACUCUGUGCAUUAGUGUGUUGUAUGGGAGGCUUUACUUGUAUUAUAGGCAUCUCUUUAUUGCACUUUGUGUUGUUUUCUUUGUGCACUUGACAUCAGCUUCAUCUUUAAGCUUUCAGUUAAAACCACAAACAAACCCUAACUCAAAUGGGCGUUCUCCACAUCCUCCUUCCAAUACCUAAAGUCGUGGGUGUUGUUUACGCAAGAGAGAGAGUGAGAGAGCACCAAAUGAGAAAGGGCAGAGAAGAAAGGAAACCGAGAGGUUCCAGUCUCCAGUGACGACAGAUCCACGGUGGUUUGAGGCGGAGCUACGACAGUGGUGAGGAUGAACAAUAUGGUGGCUAGAUUAUGUUUCCUUCACCUUCCUCGGCCCUCUGGAUUGAAGUUGUUUCAGAUUGUCAUGAAGAAAAUUCCGUCACGACAAUCAUGCUAUGUUGUUUUUUUAAAGCACUUAUGGAAGCAAGCCUUUCGUGUUCAGACAGAGACUACAUUGAUCAGAAGAAUCAAUAUUCUUGAUGCUGUUAUAUUAUAAUGAUGAAAAAAACAAGAAUUUAAUGGGUACCGGUUCGCUCUCUUCAUCAUGUGGCUUAGAUGGCGUACAUUGAUGAGUGGGCUUCAAUUCAAAAGGAGCACGAAUCUGCCUUAUUUGCAACCACUAAUGAUCUACAAGCAAGAAGCCUUUCACUUCCAAUUACCGGAGGGGUAAAGCAUGCAGGCAGAUCUUAAGAGUUUGAAGUUGAUUGUUUUUUCAACUAUCCAAGUACUACAGGCAACAAUAUCCUGUAUACAGUCAACACUAUCAAAGGUGAGAUUUCUCUUGAGUGAUUUGUCUUGAGUGAUUUUAAUAUUACAUAAAUAUUUGUCUUGAGUGAUUUUAAUACACUACAGGCAACGAUAACCAUUAUCUAAAGCUUUGAUAAAUCGGCCCAUUCACAAGUAAAUGGGUCGAAAGUGCGACCUUCAAUAAUAAAAGUUUUCGGGUUGAACGGGCCGUGUUCGGGUCAAUCCAGGAAUAUUCGGGUCAGGUUCAGGUUCAUUGGUAUGAGACAAUUUUCGGGCUCGGGUCGGGUUCGCGUUCAUAUAAAAUUUUCGGGUUCGGGUCGGGUUGGGUUGGACCCGCCAACCCGCAAACACGACCUGUUUAGCACCCCUAAUUUAAAUGAUAGAAAAAUCAAGAAUCUUGGAUUAUAAGGGGUGUUCAGAAAAAACCGUAACCAAAUAAAAACCGUAAACCGAACUGUAACCGUAACCAAAUAAACCGAUCCGAAUAACGAAUUCGGUUUUUGGUUUGGUUUCUAACCGAAAUCGAAUUGUGAAUAUGGUUUUUGGUUCGGUUUAUGGAUCCACAUUUUAUUUUAUUUGGUUUAUUCAGUUUAUUUGGAUAACCGAAUAAACCAUUUAACUUAAUUAAUUAUUAAAUAAAAAUGAAAUAUUUUAUAAAUCAUAUACAAUUUAUUAGCCCAAAAUAGUUAUUUUUUUAUGCAGCCCAAAAUACCAAAUGUAAAUCUAAAAACCCAACUCAAACUCACUCAUUUCUAAAAUAAUAGAAGUUUAGACCUAUAGAAACUAGGGUUUAGGAUUUCUACAUUUUCUUGGAGAAAGACUCAUGUUUGAAGAUUAUUUAUAUUUUGUGCCGUUAGACUUGUUAACUAUUUAUAGUUUCUAUGAUCUACGUUUUGAAGCUUUAACUUUGUGGUUGUGUCUACGACUACUUUACGGAUGUGUUUGUUUUAUUUCGCAAUGAAACGUUCUUGUAUUCAUAUAUUUUUAGGUGUAAAUUAGUUGCGAUGUUCGAAAGUUAGAACACAAACAUAAAUAUAAAUUAGGGAAAAAAAGUACUUAGUACAAUUUGGUUAGAUUUGGUUUAUUUGGAUUGUUUGGUUUCUAACCGAAACCAAACCGAAUUGAAUUUGGUUUGGUUUGGAUCGGUUUGCAUAUUUCUUAUUUGGUUUGGGGUACAAAAUUUUGAAAACCGAAUAAACCGAACCGAAUAAACCAAAUAAACCAUAAACCGAACCGAUGAACACCCCUGGAUUAUAGGCCACUUAUUGGUUCUUGAAUUACUCUGUUGUUAACUCUUCUUUGUAUGUUAAGCUAAAUGUUGACAAAAAUAGACAUGUUGAUUUAAUUUUACCUUUACUAACCAUUUACAUUUGUGGUGUAAUCCGACAAGUGUCAUUUGGGAUAUUGUAUAUACACAUUAGGGGUGUGGCGUGGCUUAGCUUGGCAUGACCAACCAUGAUAUAACAUUGUAGUUAUAGUUACUACUUACUACGAACUAUGAUCCGGAGGUUAAUUAUAACCGGAGUUUGCUGAUCGACUACACGUUAACGUGUAGUCAAUUUCGUUGCCCGCGGCGCAACGCGCGUGUGACAGUUUUCUAGUUUUUAUAAAUUUAUAAACUUCACUGGAGUAUGAUCCUCUUUAUUUCUUCGAGAGUUGAGGCAUAAUGUAUCAGAUAUCAAGAUUUUUCUAAGACGAUCUCGACUAACAUGUCAUCAUUCAUCUCAUCGUCACCAUCAUCAUCUCAGUCGCCUCCUUCACCAUUGUCUCGAACAAUUACUAGAAGAAGCGAAGUGGAAGUGAUAACUUACAAAUUAGAAAACAUAUGUAAUAUGAUAUUAGAGAUUUUUGUAACUUGUCAUCCAUGUUUAGUUUGAAAAUCUAGCAAGUAGAUGGAUAUGCACGCGUCUGAAAAUUUGGUAAAAGUAAUCA